UGCCCCUGUAGCAUAAUGGAUAGUGCAAAGGAGUUCUAACCCUGGGAUGGGGGUUCAAUUCCCUCCAGGGGCAU
rnacentral:tRNA from 1 species